rnacentral:tRNA from 1 species
CGCAAAAUGGCUGAAACAAAUAAUAGGCGGUUGGCUGUAAACCUUCUUAUGGGGAUUCUCUUUUGUGA